rnacentral:rRNA from 1 species
GACGAACGCUGGCGGCGUGCUUAACACAUGCAAGUCGAACGAUGAAGCUGGAGCUUGCUCUGGUGGAUUAGUGGCGAACGGGUGAGUAACACGUGAGUAACCUGCCCUGGACUCUGGGAUAACCCCGAGAAAUCGGAGCUAAUACCGGAUAGGACCUUGCACCGCAUGGUGUGGGGUGGAAAGUUGUUCGGUCUGGGAUGGACUCGCGGCCUAUCAGCUUGUUGGUGAGGUGAUGGCUCACCAAGGCGUCGACGGGUAGCCGGCCUGAGAGGGUGACCGGCCACACUGGGACUGAGACACGGCCCAGACUCCUACGGGAGGCAGCAGUGGGGAAUAUUGCACAAUGGGCGCAAGCCUGAUGCAGCAACGCCGCGUGCGGGAUGACGGCCUUCGGGUUGUAAACCGCUUUUAGUAAGGAAGAAGGGGCUUCGGCCUUGACGGUACUUGCAGAAAAAGGACCGGCUAACUACGUGCCAGCCGCCGCAGUAAAAC